AACCGUGCCAGACGUCCUUGAGUCUGACCCUGUUAAGGAACCUUGCCUUUGGGCAUCCCAUGGCUCAGUGCUCAUUACUGCCAUAGUCACACGCAUGCACGUACACCUUUUCGAGCUCAACCACAUGCCAAGUGAUCGACUCUGGAGCCAACACCCACCUCCAAUUACAGGAUGUGAGAUGACACUCAGCUGCCCACUCCCUGCCCCCUCCAUAUAUUUCUGCCGCCUCAGUGAAAAGGACAAAAGACUCCUUCAUGGAACGCACCUCCUCCACCUCUUUAUCUUCACCGCCGCCAGCGCCUAGACUCUGGGGGGGGUCCUGCCCUAAAUCCUA